rnacentral:rRNA from 1 species
GAUGAACGCUGGCGGCGUGCUUAACACAUGCAAGUCGAACGGAAAGGCCCAAGCUUGCUUGGGUACUCGAGUGGCGAACGGGUGAGUAACACGUGGGUGAUCUGCCCUGCACUUCGGGAUAAGCCUGGGAAACUGGGUCUAAUACCGGAUAGGACCACAUUUUGGAUGGUGUGGUGGAAAGUUUUUCGGUGUGGGAUGAGCUCGCGGCCUAUCAGCUUGUUGGUGGGGUAAUGGCCUACCAAGGCGUCGACGGGUAGCCGGCCUGAGAGGGUGUACGGCCACAUUGGGACUGAGAUACGGCCCAGACUCCUACGGGAGGCAGAGGUGGGGAAUAUUGCACAAUGGGCGCAAGCCUGAUGCAGCGACGCCGCGUGGGGGAUGACGGCCUUCGGGUUGUAAACUCCUUUCGCUAGGGACGAAGCGUUAUGUGACGGUACCUGGAGAAGAAGCACCGGCUAACUACGUG